GCUCACUUUGGCAGGGCAAAUUCUAAAGUUGGAACAACCAUAGAGAAGAUUAGAAUGGCCCUGGGUAAGGAUGAUAUGCAAAUUCGUGAAGUGUCCCAUAUUUUU
rnacentral:snRNA from 1 species